GCACUGCUGAGGAGCCCCAGAACAGGACUAAACGUCCGUCCAGUGC
rnacentral:hammerhead_ribozyme from 1 species